CACGGGGUAGGCGUAGUCGUGAUCGAUAUGGGCGUAAAGGGCUCGUAGGCGGCCAACUAAGUCAGACGUGAAAUCCCUCGGCUUAACCGGGGAACUGCGUCUGAUACUGGAUGGCUUGAGUUUGGGAGAGGGAUGCGGAAUUCCAGGUGUAGCGGUGAAAUGCGCAGAUAUCAGGAAGAACACCAAUGGCGAAAGCAGCUCUCUGGGACGGUACUGACGCUGAGACGCGAAAGCGUGGGGAGCGAACAGG
rnacentral:rRNA from 1 species